GCAAGCAUUUAAAAGUGGAUAAAAACUGUUUCCAGCAUCAAAAUGUCUGGUUGUUGCGUGUACGGUUGUCAGAAUCGAUAUUCCACCGGCGGACUAAAGUUUUACAUGAUUUCGACAGGAUCACGACCGUUUCAGAGCAACCGGCGGCGUCUGUGGCUGCAAGCGAUUAAACGUGUUGACUGGAAUGAGGACAUAAUCAAAAAUGCUCGCGUCUGCAGCGCCCACUUUGUAUCAGGUACCAUAGGAAAAGGAGGAGAGAUGACAGACCUAACACUGCAGUAAAUCAACCUGCUCAUUCUGAAACUCCAGAACAAGAAUGCAGUAUGGAUCAUUGUCCUGCUGAGGAGGAUAUCCCAGUUCCAAGGAGAGAGUACGAUGAUCUGAACCUGAGACACAGUCAACUUCAGGAGGAGUAUGUCAACCUGCGACAGGAGUUUGACACACUACGAGCUGAAAAUGUAAAGCUGAAAGAGGAGCUGCAAAAAUCUACAUUUUCCUAUACCACUGUUAAGUGCAACAUUGGACAAUUGAUUUUUCUCACAGGACUGACCUCCGUGAUCUUUGAGUGGCUGCUUACAAAAAUAACGUGCAGCGUACAAAGAAUUAGCCAAAAACUUACAGUAGAGGACCACCUAUUGGUUAUAUUGAUGAAAUUAAGGUUGGGCCUAAGUAAUACUGACUUGGCAUAUAGAUUUAAGGUAUCAAAAACCACCGUAUCAAAUAUUUUGCGGAGCUGGGUCCUUGCUAUGGCCGUGGUCCUCAAGCCACUCAUUAAAUGGCCAAGUAAGGGGGCAAUACUUAAAAAUAUGCCAAAAAUAUUCAAGCGCAACUUUAAAAGAUGCCGGUGCAUAAUAGAUUGCACUGAAAUUUU